rnacentral:rRNA from 1 species
GACGAACGCUGGCGGCGUGCUUAACACAUGCAAGUCGAACGGAGUGGCGAACGGGUGAGUAUUACGUGAGUAACCUGCCCUCAACUGUGGGAUAAGCAUGGGAACCUGGGUCUAAUACUGCAUAGUUGGGGAUGGGCUCGCGGCCUAUCAGCUUGUGGGGGGGGUGAUGGCCUACCAAGGGUGUGACGGGUGGCCGGCCUGAGAGGGUGGUCGGACACAUUGGGCGUGAGAUACGGCCCAGACUCCUACGGGGGGCAGCUGUGGGGGAUAUUGCACAAUGGGCGCAAGCCUGUUGCAGCGAUGCCGCGUAAGUGAUGAAGGCUUUCGGGUUGUAAACUUCGUACGGUACAGAACGGGUAUGUGCAGAAGAAGCGCCGGCUAACUACGUGCCAGCAGCCGCGGUAAUUC